ensembl:snRNA U6 U6 spliceosomal RNA
GUUUUCAUAUUGGCAGGGCAUAUAUUAAUAUUAAAAUAAUGCAGAGAUUAGCAGGGCCCCUGCGAAGGGGUAACACACAAAUUUUUGAAGAAUUCCAUAUUUUU